rnacentral:lncRNA from 13 species
AUUUUAAUUCAGUGUCCAAAUUAAUUAAUGCAUAGUUUAACACUUAUAAAUCAUACCUAAAAAUGUAUAUGUAAACAAGGCAUUAAUUAAGCAUCAAUAUUUCAUGUUUUGUUGUUGCUGUGAACAUACAUGGUUGUUUUGAAUGGGAGUCAUAUUGUUCACAAGUGAAGGAAUUAACAGUCAUUAGACACCUUUAUAGGUGUCUUAUACCUACUAUAAAAAUAAGGGAAAAUACAUUUUAAGGAUUUUUACACCAAGAAGUACAUACAACUAACUAGUUUACACUGCUUUUUAUCACUCUUCUACGAGAAUACCUUCCAGAUAUUCUCAACUCCUUAGCUUUAUUCUUACUGAAUGGACAAUAUCCAGCUCUAUGAGGUAGAUGAAUCACCUGGCACUGUCUAGAAUAGAACCACUCUAUUUUCCCUCUUAUUAUUGCUUAUUAGUUAAUCAUCAAGAGUUUAGCAUAAGAAGACUUAUGUGUAUUUAAGGCCCUAUACAAGUUAUGUGACUAGUCAAGUUAAUUAACCUCUCAUAUCUUCUGUUUCCUAAUAAAUACAGUACAAAUGACAUACAUAUUUCAUAAGAUUGCUUUCAAUAGUCUUACAUAAAUGAGAACUAAAUGAGAUAAAGGAUUGAAAACAUUUAACACAAUGUGUAACAUGUAAUAAUUACUCAAAUAAUGGUUAUUUUUCUCUGUCUUAGGUGAAGUGUGCAAUUGUAUAUAAGAUCUGAGACUAGGGACAUCAACCACAACAAUUUCUUUCCUUUUAAUCCGUAUCUUCCCAAUGUUUCCUUCAACUUUUGCCCAAUAUCCCGAAUAAGCUUGACUAUUGUGAAUAGUGCUGCAAAAAACACAGGAGAGCAGACAUCUCUUCAAAACACUGGAAUUCUUUCUUCUGGGUUUCAUACCCAGCCAGGGGAUUGCUGAAGUAUAUUUCAGAUCUAUUUUUAGUUUUUUAAGGAAAUUUCAUGCUAUUUUUCAUAAUAGUUGUACUAACGUAUAUUCCAGCAACUUACAGUGUACUCUCCU